rnacentral:tRNA from 1 species
AAAAUCCGUCGACUUAGAAUCGUAGGGUUCAAGUCCCUCUAUCCCCA